GGGAGUCUGAGCUUCAGAUAAACAGCUGGCAGGGGAAGGCAGGUCUUACUUUCUUAGUAUCUGCAGCUUGUGCGGUGCCGGUUUUCACAUUUUGCUUGUAUGUGUGUGCUCAGUUGUGUCUGAUUCUUUGUGACCCCGUGGACCGCAGGCUCCUCUCUGCGUGGGAUUUUCCAGGCAAGAGUACUGGAGUGGAUUGCCAUUUCCUGCAACAGGGGAUCAUCUGGACCCAGGAUUGAACCUGAGUCUCCUGCAUCUCCUGAAUUGGUGGACCAUGGCAAUGGCUGAAGAGGCUUGGGGGCAGAAUGCUUUGAGACUUAACAGGGGACACACCAAUAGAUGGAGAAACCAGAGGCUUCAUGGGGUGGCAUUUGUACUGAAUGAUGGUGCUAAAGGAUGGGAGUGUAUUUACAGGAUCCAGGGA
ensembl:lncRNA